rnacentral:sRNA from 1 species
GCACCAGCAAUGAAAAGUGAAGGGCUCCAUUUGGCCAUCGAACAAGCACAGAAGAACAGCAAAAGGUCAUUCUUGCUGCUUCGUGCUGUCCUGCCAAUAUGCCUUAUUACUGCAGUGAACAGGUGACCCUGCUGGGUGAGAGGGCAAUUCAGUCUCCAUGCUCAAUUGAUCCUUGGCCUUU